CAGUCGCCGCGGGAAUACGGAGGGGGCUAGCGUUGUUCGGAAUUACUGGGCGUAAAGCGUACGUAGGCGGUUUUGUAAGUUAGAGGUGAAAGCCCGGAGCUCAACUCCGGAAUUGCCUUUAAGACUGCAUCACUUGAACGUCGGAGAGGUGAGUGGAAUUCCGAGUGUAGAGGUGAAAUUCGUAGAUAUUCGGAAGAACACCAGUGGCGAAGGCGGCUCACUGGACGACUGUUGACGCUGAGGUACGAUAGCGUGGGGAGCAAACAGGAUUAGAUACCCCCGUAGUCCCUGUCUCUUAUAC
rnacentral:rRNA from 1 species